GUCAAAUUUCGUCGGGGCCAAUUUUCGUGGAUUGCUUAAAUUUUAUAGGUUCAUUGGGACGUAAUUUCGUGUAUUUUCUUAUACCUACAAAACGAAAUGACUUUAUAACCCUAAUAUAUAAUUCGUGGAGGAUGUUAAUUCAUCGAUGAGAGGUACCCAUAAAUUCCUUGAAAAUUGAGCCAUCACGAAAUCUAAUGAUUCCACAGUAUGUAGUAUAUCCUUUUUCUUAAAAGAGAAAGAAGGAACUGGGGUUUGUUAUUUGAUAUGUAUACAUGAUUUAUAAGAUAAUCCCCAUUUCAUAAAAUUUAUCAUGUUUUAUUUUUUCAUGAUUUACAGAUAAGGUAAUGUGCCAAUUCUCUGUUUUGUGUCAUUUUGUUUUCUAAAUAUGGACAGUCAAAUUGGUCUCUCCUAUAAACACUUCAUGGUGGUAUAUCUAGACUCUAGCGGUAUGUGAACAUUUUGUGAUUUCAUGUGAGUGGUAAUGAGGUAUGAUGGAAAGCUGUUUUCGUAUUUACUGUGGAACAAAGCAUAACAGAAAAAAAUGUGAUACCAUGGCUGUAUUCUCAUGAAAUAGCUUUUUAUUUAUUGCAUAAUGUAUUAUAUUUAUCUUGAUUGAUUUUGACCUUUGGGUACAGUACCUUUCACAAAAUUUGUUGUGAUAUUCUGUAAAACGUCAUAUUUAUCAAUAUCCAUGCAUUUGUCACAAAAGUUUGUUAAUCAAAGGCAGUGCAUAUUUUUAUUUUGGGAAAUUCAUCUGAUGUCAAUUUUAUAUCAUGAAAGGGUAUCCUAGUGUUCAUGAAUUUGUGUACUUAAAAAUGAAUUCAAACUUUUUCUAAAAAGCCUGUUGGAAUUGAUUUUGUGAAACACUGUAUCAUAUGUUCUCUGUUUCCUAUUGGUAUUUUAUAUCGCACAGGUGAGUGCAUUUCUAUUGUACCCACCUUUCUGUUAUGUGUCUUUACAUGUGUUUGUUAAUAAUCUCUCUGUUUUUUCUGAUAUUGUCAUGAAGACUGUGACUUUCUGUUUCUCUGUGUAGCAGACUGCUAUGGAGUAUUCCUGAUAAUGUGAUCUGUUGAGUCCCAGAUGUUAACCUCAGGCUUAGCAGAUGAUUUACUCUUGUUUGUUCUUGAUUUUAUUUCUUUCUUUUUAUUUCCAGAGAUCAAUAUAUUUGUCGACAGGAAGUCACAAUAAAUCCAUCUUAAAAUU
rnacentral:misc_RNA from 1 species